rnacentral:rRNA from 1 species
GACGAACGCUGGCGGCGUGCUUAACACAUGCAAGUCGAGCGGUAAGGCCCUUCGGGGUACACGAGCGGCGAACGGGUGAGUAACACGUGGGUGACCUGCCCUCCACUCUGGGAUAAGCCUGGGAAACCGGGUCUAAUACCGGAUAUUACCUCCGCAUGCAUGUGCGGUGGUGGAAAGUUCUUGCGGUGGGGGAUGGGCCCGCGGUCUAUCAGCUUGUUGGUGGGGUGAUGGCCUACCAAGGCGACGACGGAUAGCCGGCCUGAGAGGGUGAUCGGCCACACUGGGACUGAGACACGGCCCAGACUGCUACGGGAGGCAGCAGUGGGGAAUCUAGCGCAAUGGGCGGAAGCCUGACGCAGCAACGCCGCGUGGGGGAUGACGGCCUUCGGGUUGUAAACCUCUUUCGCGAUCGACGAAGCUCGUACGUCUGGUACGGGUGACGGUAGGUCGAGAAGAAGCACCGGCCAACUACGUG